CAGUGAGGCCAUUUCUGAAGAGGAGGCCCAUGACAAUUCUUUCAAAUUUUUUUUCCUUUGAAGGAUCUUCCUGUGGUUAGUCUCAUGGCAGUGAGAUGUUGGUUGCACAGAGGUCUUUUAAGGAAGAAAAGCAGUAUAUAAAUAGCCUGUUUGGAGUGGUUCCCUCUUCUUAGUUAAAUUGCAAGCAAGAUGUCUCCAGCCAAGGGUGAGAACAGUGGAGCCGGAGGCCUGAGAAGGAAAGAGGAAGCGUAAGGACAUAGUUCUUCCAAAUGUACCUUCCGUUAUCUGGACCUGAAGAGACCUGCCAGAAAAGCUGUCUAGUCCAGAAACUUCAGGAAGUAGAAUAAAGCCCACCUAAACACGUGUGACAGCGCCUUCAUCUCCUUAGCCACCGUCCACUGCCAUCUGAGGCUAGUACAGCCAAGAGCGAAGCCACGUGAUCACAGGAUGGCUGACCUCCGUUCGUCACCAUUUCCUCUCCUCUCUACCCUCUGCUCCACUUCUGGCCACUUCCGUGAGAUAAGAAGUUGAAUC